GGUUCUCUAUGCAGACCCUGCUGCUGUGCAGGAUAAUGAUGUUAAAAAAAGUAAUUUUUAACAUCAUUAUCCUGCACAGCAGCAGGUUCUACAUUU
rnacentral:pre_miRNA from 1 species